AACGAACGCUGGCGGCAGGCCUAACACAUGCAAGUCGAACGCUGUCUUCGGUAGUAGUGGCUCACGCGUGCGUCACACGUGGGAACGAGCCGUAUGCAUCGUAAUAACUCCAGGAAACUUGUGCUCAUACAGGAUGAUUACUUCGGCAUAAAGAUUGAUCGCCAUUAGAUUGGCCCGCGUCUGAUUAGCUACUUUGUAGGAUAACGGCACAUCCGGGCGACGAUCUGUAGCUGGUCUGAGAGGAGGACCAGCCACACUGUGACUGAGGCACGGCCCAGACUCCUACGUGAAGCAGCAGUGGGGAGUCUGGCACAAUGGGCGAGAGCCUGAGAAAGCGAUGCCGCGUGAUGGAAGAAGGUCUUAGGAGGGUAAAAUUCUGUCAACGGGGAGGAUAAUGACAGUACCCGGAGAAGAAGCCCCGGCUAACUUCGUG
rnacentral:rRNA from 1 species